UUAGUGGAAGCGUCUGGAAAGGCGCGCGAUACAGGGUGACAGCCCCGUACACAAAAGCGCAUGUGCUGUGAGCUCGAUGAGUAGGGCGGGACACGUGGUAUCCUGUCUGAAUAUGGGGGGACCAUCCUCCAAGGCUAAAUACUCCUGACUGACCGAUAGUGAACCAGUACCGUGAGGGAAAGGCGAAAAGAACCCCGGCGAGGGGAGUGAAAAAGAACCUGAAACCGUGUACGUACAAGCAGUGGGAGCCCCACCACCAAAGCAUUCUCUGGUGUUGAAGGCCCUGCAAAGCAGCAUCGCGGUGGCGGAGCGUCGUUUGCGACGCCCAACACACAAAACAAGCGGUGAGUGCUUUGGGGUGGGGUGACUGCGUACCUUUUGUAUAAUGGGUCAGCGACUUAUAUUCUGUAGCAAGGUUAACCGWAUAGGGGAGCCGGAGGGAAACCGAGUCUUAAUUGGGCGUUAAGUUGCAGGGUAUAGACCCGAAACCCGGUGAUCUAGCCAUGGGCAGGUUGAAGGUUGGGUAACACUAACUGGAGGACCGAACCGACUAAUGUUGAAAAAUUAGCGGAUGACCUGUGGCUGGGGGUGAAAGGCCAAUCAAACCGGGAGAUAGCUGGUUCUCCCCGAAAGCUAUUUAGGUAGCGCCUCGUGAAUUCAUCUCCGGGGGUAGAGCACUGUUUCGGCUAGGGGGCCAUCCCGGCUUACCAACCCGAUGCAAACUGCGAAUACCGGAGAAUGUUAUCACGGGAGACACACGGCGGGUGCUAACGUCCGUCGUGAAGAGGGAAACAACCCAGACCGCCAGCUAAGGUCCCAAAGUCAUGGUUAAGUGGGAAACGAUGUGGGAAGGCCCAGACAGCCAGGAUGUUGGCUUAGAAGCAGCCAUCAUUUAAAGAAAGCGUAAUAGCUCACUGGUCGAGUCGGCCUGCGCGGAAGAUGUAACGGGGCUAAACCAUGCACCGAAGCUGCGGCAGCGA
rnacentral:rRNA from 1 species